GAGUUUGGACCUGGCUCAGGAUGAACGCUGGCGGCGUGCCUAAUACAUGCAAGUCGAACGAGUUCUGAUUAUUGAAAGGUGCUUGCAUCUUGAUUUAAUUUUGAACGAGUGGCGGACGGGUGAGUAACACGUGGGUAACCUGCCCUUAAGUGGGGGAUAACAUUUGGAAACAGAUGCUAAUACCGCAUAAAUCCAAGAACCGCAUGGUUCUUGGCUGAAAGAUGGCGUAAGCUAUCGCUUUUGGAUGGACCCGCGGCGUAUUAGCUAGUUGGUGAGGUAACGGCUCACCAAGGCAAUGAUACGUAGCCGAACUGAGAGGUUGAUCGGCCACAUUGGGACUGAGACACGGCCCAAACUCCUACGGGAGGCAGCAGUAGGGAAUCUUCCACAAUGGACGCAAGUCUGAUGGAGCAACGCCGCGUGAGUGAAGAAGGCUUUCGGGUCGUAAAACUCUGUUGUUGGAGAAGAAUGGUCGGCAGAGUAACUGUUGUCGGCGUGACGGUAUCCAACCAGAAAGCCACGGCUAACUACGUGCCAGCAGCCGCGGUAAUACGUAGGUGGCAAGCGUUAUCCGGAUUUAUUGGGCGUAAAGCGAGCGCAGGCGGUUUUUUAAGUCUGAUGUGAAAGCCCUCGGCUUAACCGAGGAAGUGCAUCGGAAACUGGGAAACUUGAGUGCAGAAGAGGACAGUGGAACUCCAUGUGUAGCGGUGAAAUGCGUAGAUAUAUGGAAGAACACCAGUGGCGAAGGCGGCUGUCUGGUCUGUAACUGACGCUGAGGCUCGAAAGCAUGGGUAGCGAACAGGAUUAGAUACCCUGGUAGUCCAUGCCGUAAACGAUGAAUGCUAGGUGUUGGAGGGUUUCCGCCCUUCAGUGCCGCAGCUAACGCAUUAAGCAUUCCGCCUGGGGAGUACGACCGCAAGGUUGAAACUCAAAGGAAUUGACGGGGGCCCGCACAAGCGGUGGAGCAUGUGGUUUAAUUCGAAGCAACGCGAAGAACCUUACCAGGUCUUGACAUCUUUUGAUCACCUGAGAGAUCAGGUUUCCCCUUCGGGGGCAAAAUGACAGGUGGUGCAUGGUUGUCGUCAGCUCGUGUCGUGAGAUGUUGGGUUAAGUCCCGCAACGAGCGCAACCCUUAUGACUAGUUGCCAGCAUUUAGUUGGGCACUCUAGUAAGACUGCCGGUGACAAACCGGAGGAAGGUGGGGAUGACGUCAAAUCAUCAUGCCCCUUAUGACCUGGGCUACACACGUGCUACAAUGGAUGGUACAACGAGUUGCGAGACCGCGAGGUCAAGCUAAUCUCUUAAAGCCAUUCUCAGUUCGGACUGUAGGCUGCAACUCGCCUACACGAAGUCGGAAUCGCUAGUAAUCGCGGAUCAGCACGCCGCGGUGAAUACGUUCCCGGGCCUUGUACACACCGCCCGUCACACCAUGAGAGUUUGUAACACCCGAAGCCGGUGGCGUAACCCUUUUAGGGAGCGAGCCGUCUAAGGUGGGACAAAUGAUUAGGGUGAAGUCGUACAAAGGGU
rnacentral:rRNA from 2 species